rnacentral:rRNA from 1 species
GACGAACGCUGGCGGCGUGCUUAACACAUGCAAGUCGAACGGAGAACGAGGGAGCUUGCUCCCUCCGUGUUAGCGGCGAACGGGUGAGUAACACGUGAGCAAUCUGCCUCUAACUCUGGGAUAAGCGCUGGAAACGACGUCUAAUACCGGAUACUAUGCGGGACGGCAUCCUCUCCGCGUGAAAGGCACUUCGGCUCGAGCUUAUCUCUCGGCCUAUCAGCCUGUUGGUGAUGUAUCGGCUCACCAAGGCGCAGACGGGUAGCCGGCCUGCGAGGGUGACCGGCCACAAUGGGACUACGAGACGGACCAGACGCCAACGGGAGGCAGCAGUGGGGAAUAUUGCACAGUGGGCGCAAGCCUGAUGCAGCAACGCCGCGUGAGGGACGACGGCCUUCGGGUUGUAAACCUCUUUUUACGGGGAAGAAGCGAAAGUGACGGUACCUGCAGAGAAAGCACCGGCUAACUACGUG